GGGGGGGAUCUUUGUCUUUGUUUGUAUUUGUUAUACGUGCAGUCAUUGGUGAGCUAAACUAAACUAUUAUUUUUAUCAUCAUUUACUAGGUAAGACCCACAGAUCUACAGCGCUCUGUUUCAGAAGCGACCUGGCCACAAAUCAUCAGCUCCUUGCAGCGGGGAACAGCCCCGGGUUGGACCACAGGCACUGGCUCGGAUUUGGAACGCGAGCAGCGACUGCCUGGACGCCUCUGACCCCUGUUCGACCCCGGGCCCGGGUCAAGUCUCCCGCGCGGGGUGGGGGCUCUUCACCCCCCCCCCCUCCCCGCCUCCGCACGCCCUCCGCCGUUGUCGCUCGCACCGCUCACUCUCCGCCUCGCCGGACACGGGCGCUAUCGAUCGCUCCGCCGUGCUCUCGGCGCGACCUUGGGCAGCAUGCACGGUGAGAGCGAAAGCACCACCACGGAGUGCGCGUGAUGAACACCACGAGCGGCAGCAGCAGCAGCAGCAGCGGCGGCGGCGGCAGCGUCACUGGGCAGGCGCACGUGGAGCGAGGGGACGGGACAGCCGUGGCUUAAGCUCCACUCCAUCACGCGGUGUCAUCCGCACCUACUGCUGCCGUGGCUCGUGCAGUGGAUGCGGUUUAGGGUCGACCACGAGCAGUCUUCGUGGACGAUCAAACCCCCGUGGAUCUUCUGCGUUGGCUCUUCCACCGGUCGCCACGAGCGACAGCACCCGCUGAUCCGGCACUGUGGAAGCGGCGGCGAGGGUUGGUGCAUCUCAGCAGAGGCGUUGAGGACCUCUCUUCAUGCGGGCAGUCGAGGAGGAGUUGUCCCCUAUCUCGCCAGGAAAAGGCGUCAUUGGUGUCCUGGAACUUGGGAGCCCGGUUUCAUCACAACUCAGUCUAUGUGAAGUCUAGAGGUCUCUAUGUGAGUCUAUGGGUGAGUGUAUGGGUCUCUGUGUGACCAAGUGGUUCUCUAUGCGAGUCUAUGGGUCUCUGUGUGAGUCAAUGAGUUUCCGUGUGCAUCUAUUGGUCUCUCUAUGUGAGUAUACGGGUCUCUGGGUGCGUCUACGGAUCUCUAUGUUAAUCUGUGGGUGAGCCUAUGGGUCUCCUAUGUGAGUCAAGUGGUCACAUUGUGAGUCACUGGUAAGAAGAGACCAUCAGCUCACUGCACGUCAGAGCUCUGUCGCUUAAUCACACCACAGCGGCUUAAAUCCGCAUUCAAACUCAGGCUCUUCGUGAUGCCGGCUCAGCGCUCCGACAUUGAAGCCAUCCUCGAAUCACGCAUCCUAGCACGGUCGCUAAUUGCAUCCGCUCUCUGUACAUUUCACGCUCCCACUUUAUUUGUCUGCCCCGAUGACGGGUGGGUGAGUGAUGUAUCCCCACGUUUAUCUUGGGUUACCGCGAUUGUUUGGGACACACCACUACGGGUCUGUCCGCGGCUCUGGUUUGGUGAGACGUUGGUGAGACGUUGGUGAGACGUUGGUGAGACGUUGGUGAGACGUUGGUGAGACGUUGGUGAGACGUUGGUGAGACGUUGGUAUGAUGGACCGCGAUCCCGCCACCUCCAAAUCGCAACUCCCGGCGAGGCAUUUACCACGCCCUCCCCUUCCCCCCAAACCCGCACACCCUCCACCGGAGUAAAUAUUCGGAGAUUUAAAAAAAAAAUUCACAGAAGCAAAUGAUCGCUCACACGGUUUGCCUUGGGCAAGAGGCACGCGGCAUCCAUUCCCUUCUGUAGCUGCAUCAUCCUUGAAUGGAGCAGGUGAUAUUCGCCAUACCAUUCCUCGGAAUCGCGUCAAUUUAGACUUUCAAGGACACCGAAUAAUGCCGCGGGACCCACAAUGCCCUUCUCCAUUCAUUUGUAUUAUCAUCCUCCUCCUAAUAUAUAUUGUAUUCUUUCUGGCCCUGACGUUCAGAACUUUAGGUGCAUUCCAGACCACCCAAGGCCUUCUUCCUGUAAAGGGGGGAGGGGGGUAACAUUGACCUCCCCCCCACGCUACCCCCCUCCACCCCUCCCCUGGACAAGGUUAGACAUCUUAACGCUUUGCCUGCGAGACCCGCAACUGCACUGCGAACAGGUGACUGUCCAUGAUCAAGGUUGUUUUUGUGGGUAAGAUCAUCACCACCACCACCGCCACCAUCAUCAUCAUCGCGAUCCGUGGGCAGAGUGCCCCCGUGAGGUGCCCACUGCCACAUUUCGUCAUCUGUUGUUGCCACUUUCCUCACUGUCUUGUCGUGCCCGAGUGAUCAAAUCGUGGCCACAUCUUUCUGGCAGCGAUCUCUUGCGAUGUCAUCGUCAAGCCUCUCUCUGUGAGAAGCCUUCCUCUCUUCUCAGUUCCUGAUAUUUUUUUUCCUCUCCCGAACAACGAUCAACGGCACCGUUAAGGGGCCGUCCAUAAAUGACGUCACGCGAUUUUGGACGAUUUUUGACCCCCUCCC